UUUCCUAAAGGAUAUGAAAGGGCCAAAAUAAACAAAAUAUUAAUGAUGAGCAGAGUGACUUUAAAAGAGAUUUCCUAAUCGAUAUUCUCCGCUACUUUGUCAAGAGUGUCAACAACUAUUCGUGCUUCAACAGAUAAAGCAUUUUUGUCGCCAUCGUUUGCGGCAACAAUUAAUCCACAAACGGCAUUCACGGCGGACAUAAAUGCCCCCUCCAACCAGCCACCCAAAUGGCUGUAACUGCAGUUAGCCA